rnacentral:lncRNA from 1 species
AAGUAAGUGGUGACUAUGAUUAAGUACGUGCUUAAGUAUGAAGAUGACUCAAAUCUGUGGGGAUAAUAAUUUUUAACAUGUCAUGUGCAUUGGAAAUCCUUGAGGCAAAUGUUGGAAGGUUUAGGUUGUGUUUUAUUUACUUUGUUUCGUUUUAUCUCUUUGUUUUGCUCGAGGACUAGCAAAAGCUAAGUGUGGGGGAAUUUGAUAGGAGCAUAUUUAUGCGACUUAGUUGGCUUGUUCUUGUGCAUUUAUGUUGUGUUUCCUUAGUUAUUUUAAUGUUUAAAGUCAUUUUCGUGUGUUUUCAGAUUUUAUGGACAAAGUAGGCAAGAAUAUGCAUUUUGGAGCAUUUUGGAGCAAAAUGGGGCUUGGAAUGGAUAGCAAAUGCAUGGGCCAAAGUGGAUGGACGAAUUUGAGAACUAAAGAGGCCAAGAAUAUGAAGAAUUAUGGUCCAAAAGAUGAAGAAAACAGCCCAAAAAUUUGUCAACCCAACUUGCAUUCCUUGCCAUGCAAACCACAUAGAAUUCCCUUUGGAUUCCCAUGCCAUGCUUGAUCACUCUUGUCCCCUACAUAAUUUCUGAUUUCAUGCUUCAAUUCAUUUAAUUAUUACACUCAAUUGCUUGAUACCUCUUGUUCCCUUCACUCAUUAGAUUUUAGACAACAUUUACAUCCAUUACAUGCACCAAUUGAUGCUCCAUCAUUCACAUUUGGAAUCCAAUGCCAUGUCCAACACAUGUUGUUGCACCUUUGACCCAUUUGUUGACACAUUUUACCUCCCUUUCCAUCUCUAUGCAAUGUACACAAUCAUUCAUGCUCCCUAGCUACAACACCACUCCAUUUUUACCCUUGGACCAUUGCACACCACACACACAAAUUGCCAUGCAUUUCAUCCUUAACCUAACCUGAUUUUCUAAGGUUUUUGGGGCCUACAAAUACAUGUUUACACCCCUUGGCCAAAG